GCCGGGAUAGCUCCGUCAGUAGAGCAUGAGAUUCUUAAUCUCUCAGGGUUGUGGGUUCAAGCCCCACACUGGGCA